GACGAACGCUGGCGGCGUGCUUAACACAUGCAAGUCGAACGAAGAGCGAUGGAAGCUUGCUUCUAUCAAUCUUAGUGGCGAACGGGUGAGUAACGCGUAAUCAACCUGCCCUUCAGAGGGGGACAACAGUUGGAAACGACUGCUAAUACCGCAUACGAUCUAAUCUCGGCAUCGAGGAUAGAUGAAAGGUGGCCUCUACAUGUAAGCUAUCACUGAAGGAGGGGAUUGCGUCUGAUUAGCUAGUUGGAGGGGUAACGGCCCACCAAGGCGAGGAUCAGUAGCCGGUCUGAGAGGAUGAACGGCCACAUUGGGACUGAGACACGGCCCAGACUCCCACGGGAGGCAGCAGUGGGGAAUCUUCCGCAAUGGACGAAAGUCUGACGGAGCAACGCCGCGUGAGUGAUGACGGCCUUCGGGUUGUAAAGCUCUGUUAAUCGGGACGAAAGGCCUUCUUGCGAAUAGUGAGAAGGAUUGACGGUACCGGAAUAGAAAGCCACGGCUAACUACGUG
rnacentral:rRNA from 1 species